GAUGAACGCUGGCGGCGCGCCUAACACAUGCAAGUCGAACGAUUAAAGCACCUUCGGGUGUGUAUAAAGUGGCGAACGGCUGAGUAACACGUGGGCAACCUGCCCCUCUCAUUGGGAUAGCCACGGGAAACCGUGGAUAAUACCGAAUACUUCGGGACUUCCGCAUGGAAGACUCGAGAAAGCUCCGGCGGAGAGGGAUGGGCCCGCGGCCUGUUAGCUUGUUGGUGGGGUAAUGGCCUACCAAGGCAAUGAUGGGUAGCUGGGUUGAGAGACCGACCAGCCAGAUUGGGACUGGGAAACGGCCCAGACUCCUACGGGAGGCAGCAGUGGGGAAUCUUGCACAAUGGGCGAAAGCCUGAUGCAGCGACGCCGCGUGCGGGAUGAAGGCCUUCGGGUUGUAAACCGCUUUCAGCAGGGACGAGGCGAAAGUGACGGUACCUGCAGAAGAAGCCCCGGCUAACUACGUG
rnacentral:rRNA from 1 species